rnacentral:rRNA from 1 species
UGCAAGUCGAGCGGUACAGAAAGUAGCUUGCUACUUUGCUGACGAGCGGCGGACGGGUGAGUAAUGCUUGGGAACAUGCCUUGAGGUGGGGGACAACAGUUGGAAACGACUGCUAAUACCGCAUAAUGUCUACGGACCAAAGGGGGCUUCGGCUCUCGCCUUUAGAUUGGCCCAAGUGGGAUUAGCUAGUUGGUGAGGUAAUGGCUCACCAAGGCAACGAUCCCUAGCUGGUUUGAGAGGAUGAUCAGCCACACUGGAACUGAGACACGGCCCAGACUCCUACGGGAGGCAGCAGUGGGGAAUAUUGGACAAUGGGCGAAAGCCUGAUCCAGCAAUGCCGCGUGUGUGAAGAAGGCCUGCGGGUUGUAAAGCACUUUCAGUUGGGAAGAUGAUGACGUUACCAACAGAAGAAGCACCGGCUAACUCCGUGCCAGCAGCCGCGGUAAUACG